rnacentral:rRNA from 1 species
CUCCUUGGUGAUUCAUAAUAACUCAACGAAUCGCAUGGCCUUGCGCCGGCGAUGGUUCAUUCAAAUUUCUGCCCUAUCAACUUUCGAUGGUAGGAUAGUGGCCUACCAUGGUAUCAACGGGUAACGGGGAAUUAGGGUUCGAUUCCGGAGAGGGAGCCUGAGAAACGGCUACCACAUCCAAGGAAGGCAGCAGGCGCGCAAAUUACCCAAUCCCGACACGGGGAGGUAGUGACAAUAAAUACUGAUACAGGGCUCUUUUGGGUCUUGUAAUUGGAAUGAGUACAAUUUAAAUCCCUUAACGAGGAACAAUUGGAGGGCAAGUCUGGUGCCAGCAGCCGCGGUAAUUCCAGCUCCAAUAGCGUAUAUUAAAGUUGUUGCAGUUAAAAAGCUCGUAGUUGAACCUUGGGCCUGGCUGGCCGGUCCGCCUCACCGCGUGUACUGGUCCGGCCGGGCCUUUCCUUCUGGGGAUCCGCAUGCCCUUCACUGGGUGUGCCGGGGAACCAGGACUUUUACUUUGAAAAAAUUAGAGUGUUCAAAGCAGGCCUUUGCUCGAAUACAUUAGCAUGGAAUAAUAGAAUAGGACGUGCGGUUCUAUUUUGUUGGUUUCUAGGACCGCCGUAAUGAUUAAUAGGGACAGUCGGGGGCAUCAGUAUUCAAUUGUCAGAGGUGAAAUUCUUGGAUUUAUUGAAGACUAACUACUGCGAAAGCAUUUGCCAAGGAUGUUUUCAUUAAUCAGUGAACGAAAGUUAGGGGAUCGAAGACGAUCAGAUACCGUCGUAGUCUUAACCAUAAACUAUGCCGACUAGGGAUCGGGCGAUGUUAUUAUCUUGACUCGCUCGGCACCUUACGA